rnacentral:rRNA from 1 species
UACAGAGGGGGCAAGCGUUGUUCGGAAUUACUGGGCGUAAAGGGCGCGUAGGCGGCCUGCUAAGUCGAACGUGAAAUCCCUGGGCUCAACCCAGGAACUGCGUCCGAUACUGGUUGGCUUGAAUCCGGGAGAGGGAUGUGGAAUUCCAGGUGUAGCGGUGAAAUGCGUAGAUAUCUGGAGGAACACCGGUGGCGAAGGCGGCAUUCUGGACCGACAUUGACGCUGAGGAGCGAAAGCCAGGGGAGCAAACGGG